AUACAUGUGUGAUUACGUGGUUAGUAUGGUUAGACGUCUCUCCAGUCGUCACUGUUAGUUAUUCCAGCAUGAUGAAUAUAUCGCAUUGAUUUUAAAUCGUUUUAACGCCGAUGUCACGUUUGCUAAUAAAUAAAUGAAGUCACUUAAUAUUUGGUAAAAAUCGCGACUCUAGAACAUAUAACGUGGUUUAGUACUUUUUGUGAUAAAAUGUACAUGUACCGUUGUCAAUACCGGUAGUGCAUAGUAGAUACGCCCACAACACAUUAAACGUGUUUAUUUCCACGAAAAUUUUGUGAAAAUUCACCAGAAAAAAGCCUAGCCGAGAGAAGAGGUUAAAAAAGCACUAUUUUUUUAAAUGCUUUGAAUUAAUCAAUACGACUGACAUGCAGUGAGAAUUGAUUUUUCAUGCACGUGCAAAUUUACAACACACACGUGUGUAUCUGUUAAAUAAAAUAUAACAUAUAAUAAGUAAGGAAUGGGAAUUGACAGUAUGAGAGUCGGAGGAGGCCGAUGUCCUCCCCUCCUUGUUGGCGGACUUCUCGCUGCUUGUUUAAUGCUUAUUUGCAACUGGUGGACUUUAUCUUCUGAAAAUAUCGAAUUAGUUAGGCAAAUCGACGAAUUGAAUGAACAACUUAAAAUUAGUGCUGAGGAAAGAGAUCAGUGUGUUACACUACGCAAAAAUUUUGAACAGAGAUACAAGAAUGCAGAAAAUGAGGUGGCAUCACUUCAUGUACAUUUAGAACAACAAGAAGAGUUAAAGAAAAAAAAUGAUGACUUAAAUGAAAAUUUGAAUAAAUGCAAAAAUGAAUUUGAUUCACUAACCAAGUUAGAUGCUACUAAAACUACAACAUUGAAAACAUUAAGACUUGAAAAAGAAACUGUUAAUUCACAGUUGAAUGUAACAAGAGAUGAAAAUAAAAAGUUGCAGGAAGACAUAGAACAGCUAAAGGAUGAUCUUGAUAAAAUUAAGCUUACAUGCAAUCUAACUCCUGAAAAGAAAGCUCCAUCUAUCCUACAACCUACAAGAGAAGUAAUUAACAAGAUUCAGUUGGAUCCUGUUCCGGAAUCAGCUAUAAGAAUAUCCUUAGUUGGUCAGCGUGGUUUGAAAUACCAUGGAAUUCCAAUUCUUCCAAAAGAUCCACCUGGCGCUGUGCGCCUAAGUCCUCGCUUCUCUGUUACAAUGCUGAAAGAUAGUGAUACUUUUCUCUUAUCUCAGGAGAGAAGAAGGCGGCCACAGAAAUAAAAACACUCAUGCAGUAAUUGUGUAUAUAAAAUUGUUGUAUUUUUGAUGCAUCUAUUGUUAGAUUUGAAUCAAAUGACUUUCUAAUAAGCAUAUUGCACUUUUUAUCUACUUAAUAGACAGUAAUGGCUAAGAUGUGAAUGUGUGUGAAUAUAAAUAAAUUCUCAUAUACAAUAUGUUAUUCUAAACUAAAAGUAUUAAGUUGAACAUAAAUAAUAAAGAGAUUAUAGAUUAUGAUUUUAAAUUGUAGUACCAUUCUCAUCUCUAGUCUCAGGCAAGUCCAAAGAACCAAAAGAAUAAUGAUUCAAAUGGCGGCAUAGAAGACAAUGUAGAAGUUG